GUGGCUAGAGUGUGUAGAGGUCACGGGAAUCCUGGUGUAGCGUGAAAUGCGUAGAUAUCAGGAGGACACCGGUGGCGAAAGCGCGUGACUGGGCCACAACUGACGCUGAGGAACGAAAGCCAGGGGAGCAAAAGGGAUUAGAUACCCCUGUAGUCCUGGCCGUAAACGAUGGAUACUAGGUGUUGGAGGAUUCGACCCCCUCAGUGCCGUAGCUAACGCGAUAAGUAUCCCGCCUGGGGAGUACGACCGCAAGGUUGAAACUCAAAGGAAUUGACGGGGGCCCGCACAAGCGGUGGAACAUGUGGUUUAAUUCGAUGCAACGCGAAGAACCUUACCUGGGCUUGACAUCUACGGAACCUUCACGAAAGUGAGGGGUGCCUUCGGGAGCCGUAAGACAGGUGGUGCACGGUUGUCGUUAGCUCGUGUCGUGAGAUGUUGGGUUAAGUCCCGCAACGAGCGCAACCCUCGUAGUCUGUUGUUACAGGUCGUAAGAUGCUGAACCCUCAGGCCAGACUGCCGGUGACAAACCGGAGGAAGGUGGGGAUGACGUCAAAUCAUCACGCCCCUUAUGUCCAGGGCUACACACGUGUUACAAUGGGAAGCGGACAAUGGGUCGCUUGGCAGCAAUGUCUGGCAAAUCCUCAAACCGCCCCUCAGUUCGGAUCGGAGUCUGCAAUUCGACUCCGUGAAGUCGGAAUCGCUAGUAAACGCAGAUCAGCACGCUGCGUUGAAUACGUUCCCGGGCCUUGUACACACCGCCCGUCACACCACGAAAGAGGGUUAUGCCCGAAGUCGGUGUCCUAACCGUAAGGAGGGAGCCGCCUAAGGUGGAACUCUUGAUUGGGGUGAAGUCGUAACAAGGUAACCAAGGG
rnacentral:rRNA from 1 species